rnacentral:rRNA from 1 species
GACGAACGCUGGCGGCGUGCUUAACACAUGCAAGUCGAGCGGAAAGGCUCCUUCGGGGGUACUCGAGCGGCGAACGGGUGAGUAACACGUGAGUAAUCUGCCCUUGGCUUUGGGAUAGCCACCGGAAACGGUGAUUAAUACCGGAUACGACCACUUCACGCAUGUGAUGGUGGUGGAAAGUUUUUCGGCCAGGGAUGUGCUCGCGGCCUAUCAGCUUGAUGGUGAGGUAAUGGCUCACCAUGGCCUCGACGGGUAGCCGGCCGUAGAGGGUGACCGGUCACACUGGGACUGAGACACGGCCCAGACUCCUACGGGAGGCAGCAGUGGGGAAUAUUGGACAAUGGGCGGAAGCCUGAUCCAGCAACGCCGCGUGAGGGAUGACGGCCUUCGGGUUGUAAACCUCUUUCAGCAGGGACGAAGCGCAAGUGACGGUACCUGCAGAAGAAGCACCGGCCAACUACGUGCCAGCAGCCGCGGUAACAC